CUGCAUGCGCAGGAGAUGCGUGCCACACUCGUCUGCCGGCAGGGCGCCAGCCGACAGUGGAUGCAGCGGCAGUCACAGGAUCCGUUUGUAGCCAAGGCGCGCCAGGACGGCUACGUCGCGCGCAGCGCGUACAAACUGACACACAUAGACGACCGCUUUCACCUCUUCGACCGCCAGCACACACGCAUCGCGAUAGACCUCGGCUGCAGUCCGGGCGGGUGGUGUCAGGUGAUACGUGAGAGGGCCGGCGACCGCUGCUUCCUCCUUGGUAUCGAUCUUCUGCCCAUCAAGGCGCAGAUCCCGAAUGCCGUGAUUGUGCAGGGAGACUUUACAGACGUUACCACCCAAGAGAAGCUUGUGAAGUGCCUUGCCCAUCACAGCGCUACUCUCGGCAGAGGAGAUGCAACGACGGCGGUGGCGUCGCCGUCCUCCUCUUGCUUUACCAAAGUGGAUGUCGUCACGUCGGACAUGUGCCCUAACCGAAUGGGCGGCUCCCAAGAUCGGCAGCGCAUCGCGCAGCUGAACCUGCAAGCCAUCAACGUGUGUGCACCGCUGCUACGCAUUGGCGGGCACUUUGUAUGCAAAGUCCUCGGGAGCCGCGCCGCCUACGAGGAGCUGUGGUGCCGCCUGUCCCGACUCUUCCUUACUGUGCACGCGUGUAAGCCGCCGGCGAGCCGCAUGCACAGUGAUGAGGCUUUCUUGGUGGCGCUGGACAAGCUUGCAACGCCGCGUCCGGCCUCGUCCGCCACCCGAAGCUGCUCCUCGAGAGCGAUCAUGGGCACAGCUAGUGGAGACAGCAGCGGUGGGGGUCGUUUCGGCCUGGACGACUGGCCGGGUUUCGGGCGCCCGGAACGGCGCCAGCGGCGGGGAUGAGGCUCUACAGCGGAGAGGGAAAGAGGAUGGAAGAAGGACUGCUACAAGAGAGCCCGCGCAAUGGCAGCGCGUGUGUGCAUGUAGUUGUAGCCCUGCUGAAGGACCGCCUCGCCUCAUCAUCUGUCUCUUCGCAUGCAGUGUUGAAAACAACAUGAUCCGUGGGUGAACACGACAUGAAAAAAAAAAACGAAGGAGCAAUCGAAGAUCUGUUUCCGCGUGUGAGCACCCGUUGCAUGUCCCACACGCACAUACACUGGCAAGCAGAACGGCUCCACACGUCACGGGCACAGAUCAUGAAGUCUACGUACUUCGUGUGUAGGCGCAGCAUGCAGCGCUACGGCUGCUUGCGUGGCGUGCGCCUCUUCCUUGACGAGAAGCGAUCGGGCACAUGCACAGAUGCAGGCAAAUUCGCACUCGAGCAUGCACGCACGAACUCGCCCCCCCCCUCCUCUCCCGCCUCCCUAUCUGUCAUCCUUGUUUAUCAUCUUUGCGCAG
rnacentral:misc_RNA from 1 species